rnacentral:rRNA from 1 species
GACGAACGCUGGCGGCGUGCUUAACACAUGCAAGUCGAACGGAAAGGCCCUGCUUUUGUGGGGUGCUCGAGUGGCGAACGGGUGAGUAACACGUGAGUAACCUGCCCUUGACUUUGGGAUAACUUCAGGAAACUGGGGCUAAUACCGGAUAGGAGCUCCUGCUGCAUGGUGGGGGUUGGAAAGUUUCGGCGGUUGGGGAUGGACUCGCGGCUUAUCAGCUUGUUGGUGGGGUAGUGGCUUACCAAGGCUUUGACGGGUAGCCGGCCUGAGAGGGUGACCGGCCACAUUGGGACUGAGAUACGGCCCAGACUCCUACGGGAGGCAGCAGUGGGGAAUAUUGCACAAUGGGCGGAAGACUGAUGCAGCAACGCCGCGUGCGGGAUGACGGCCUUCGGGUUGUAAACCGCUUUCGCCUGUGACGAAGCGUGAGUGACGGUAAUGGGUAAAGAAGCACCGGCUAACUACG